GGUCAUCGGCCUCUGCUCCUGCUAUGGGAUAGAGGGUCUUCGUCCCUUAUUCCAAAAGUGGGUCUCCCUCCCUGUCAACAGAUAGCGUGGUUUGUGUAUAAAUAAUGGCAUUUUAUGCUCUUUUACUGCAGAUCUAUGGUUAUUGAAGAGGGUUUAUAUUGAUAUGCAUAUUGAAGUUUGCUUUUGAUUGUUAAGGGAAGGAUCGUUGGUUAUGGAGGUGAAAGGCAUGAAAGGGUUGCUGAAAAGUCAUUCACUUUUCACUCCUUUGGCGACCAGUGCGACUCUGCAAGUUUAUGCUCACCACAUUCUAUUCGUUACUCUUGGGUCCUUUUGAUUUACCUAUCAUUUCGGGAGUUUUUGUUUUAGAGGAGCCUCUUGCCUGCAAGUAGUGCUGUGCUUGGUUCUUGAUGAUCUUCCCUUAUCAUCUUCCCUAGCAAUCGGUCAUGCAUGUUGGUUUUAAGAUGUUAGUGGCACUCCACCUCCUCUGGUACAAACUUAUGUCGUGAUUGUAAUAAAAAAAUAGACUGAUCUAACUUCACUACAAAAGUUAGUUAAAGGGUGGAGGUUUGCCCAAACCUUAUCCCAAGCUAAUAUAAGACAGCCAAGGUAUGAAUAUUUGGCAUGUGAUUUAUAAGCAAAUAUAUGUAUAAAUAGUUUAAUAUUAAAGAAUGGUAUGCUUUGAUAUUAUAUAGUAUUAUCACAUAUAUUCUUUAUUUAAUUCACUUUUCUUUCUCUUUUAACUAUAUUAUUAUUAUCAUUACUAAAUUUUUAUAAUAUAAACUAUUUUUUUAAAACUUAAAAUUUUAAAUAAUUUUUUAAUCUUAUACAUAGUACAAAUAUUUUAUUUCAUGUCAAUGUGGAGCAACAGGCUUGUUCCAAGCUAGGGAUCCUUUCAGCCUUUGGCCACUUCCCCUGGCCUGGUUUGGGGCCAUCUUGAGGACCCUUUUCUUUUUCCUCAGGCCUUGAUCGGUAGCUUUGGAUUUUAUGUGAUAAAUUUGUCAGUUUAAGUUGGGUAUUUUAGAGAGCUGGCCUAGGCCUUUCUGUAUCCUUAAUCUUAGUUGGAUUCCUUCUGUGUAUUGGCCCUAUGCUUUUUUUUUGUUUUUUUCAAAUGUCAUUUUCGUGUGUGUAUGUGUAUAUAUAUGUAUAUAUACACACACACACACUUUUUUGAAGAGCCUUGCCAAAUUGCCAAUCUAUCGUUUAAGGAAAAAACCGAACUGGACGUAGUUUAUUUUCUACCUUCGACCACGUUCGAGGGCAUUUACGUAAUCCCGACCUACCAAAUCCAAUCCUAAACCACGCUCACCUACACUGGACGCUGCGUCACUGAACUGCGACUGUUACUAGUUCUAAACCAAAGAGAACAAAAACAAUGGCGGCGAUUUCUUGUCACUCUACGCUUCCAUCCAACAAAGUCUAUUUCUCCUCGUCUUCCUCUGCUUUCUCCAGUAAUGUUCUCUCCCAGUCUGCUCGAUUCUCCGGUGUAUCGGUUUCAUCUCGGGUGAUUCGUGGGAGAAUCUCGUGCCAGACCUCUUCUGCUACCUCUUCGUCUUCCUCUUCCGUCAAUGGCAAAGCAAAAACAGAGCUGAAGGAUUUUCUACACAUUAAUGAUUUUGACAAAGCCACUAUUAUGAAGAUCUUGGAUCGGGCUGCAGAAGUCAAGGCAUUGUUAAAAUCUGGAGACAGGACAUUCCUCCCAUUUAAAGGAAAGACAAUGGCUAUGAUCUUUGCAAAGCCUUCUAUGAGGACAAGGGUUUCAUUUGAGACUGGGUUCUUCUUGCUUGGAGGCCAUGCUAUAUAUUUAGGGCCUGAUGAUAUCCAGAUGGGCAAACGGGAGGAAACUCGUGAUGUUGCUCGUGUUUUGUCUCGCUAUAAUGAUGUAAUCAUGGCACGUGUUUUUGCUCAUCAGGAUAUUCUUGAUCUGGCAAAGUACGCAACUGUACCUGUUAUUAAUGGCUUGACUGACUACAACCAUCCGUGCCAAAUAAUGGCUGAUGCCCUCACAAUAAUUGAGCACAUUGGUCAGUUGGAGGGGACCAAGGUUGUAUAUGUUGGGGAUGGGAAUAACAUUGUGCACUCUUGGUUGUUGAUGGCAUCUGUUAUUCCUUUCCACUUUGCUUGUGCCUGCCCUAAAGGUUUUGAACCAGAUGCAAAAACAGUUGACAAAGCACGAGAGGCUGGAAUCAGCAAGAUCGAGGUCACAAAUGAUCCAAAGGAAGCUGUUAGCGGAGCUGAUGUUGUAUACUCAGAUGUGUGGGCAAGCAUGGGCCAAAAAGAGGAGGCUGCACACCGUCGUAAAAUGUUUGAAGGCCCAUAUAUGUUAAUAAAAUAGACGUAUUUUAUAUUUAGUUUAGUUUUUUGUGCCUUGAUUAUAAUAUUGGAUUAUAAAUUAUUUUGUGUUAAAGAAAGCCAAGAUGGUCGACUGUCAUUAUGCUCAAAGUAAACAAUGAGCUGUUUAGUUUCCUAUAAAUGUGGCUCAUAUUUUGAUAUUUUAUUUAAAAUUGCAGGUGGAUGAAGAUAUUAUGAAAUUAGCAGUUCCAAAAGCUUAUUUUAUGCAUUGUUUGCCGGCUGAGAGGGGUGUGGAGGUGACAGAUGGUGUCAUUGAAGCUCCAAACUCUAUUGUCUUCCCA
rnacentral:misc_RNA from 1 species